UCCACAGAAUAAAGGUGUACUAUGCCAUGCCUUAGAUUUACGUUUUUAUAGAAAAAGAAAAGAAAGCAAAUCAAAAUGCUAUUGUUAAAGCCCUAUCCUAUCUUUUAAAAAUAGCAAAGCCCUAUCUGGACACAAACUUCUAUUAGAUAUUUACAUCCUAUUUUAUUCAAAUUGGGCCUCACUAACAUGUGACAGAACCUGAUAAAACAAAAUAAAAAUAUGUUGUUGGCAUGUGACAACAUAUGCAAGCAGCUGACUGAGCAGCUUGUUGCCAAUUUUCAAAUAAGUGGAUAAGCAACUUGUAAGCUCCUUGCAAGCAUGUGGAUAAGCUCCUUGUAGGUUUCUACUAAGUAGCUGGAUAAGCAGCUUACAGGCAAACUUUUUUGAGAGGGUAAUUCAUUUGAGAGAGUUUUGCGGUAAACUCGAGAAGGUAAUUCUAUGGAGCUUGUGGAGUUCUUUGUCUUCCAAGCUUCUCUUUGGCGGUCUGGUGAAGUAACUCUUCUUAUUGGAUGAAUCUUUGCAUUCUGGUGGGUUGAUUUUAGUUGGAUGCUUUUGAUGACAUUGGUGACUACAUCUCUCAAGAUUUCAUAUGAUAAUUUAUAUUCUUUUAUCGCUUGCUGGACGUCAUCCCAGUGGGGAUAAUCAUCAAUGUAGUUCAACUUUUCUCAUUGCUGUGGCUAAAUUUCUUUUGGAAUGCAUCUAUUUUGCGGGAAGAUAAAGCGGUGUGCUUCAUAAUAUUCAACAUCCAAAGAGAGAAAUGACAGAAAAAGUUUUUAGCAGAGUGAAAUUUUUAGCUGAGCUUGGAAGUCAUGGUUCGUGAUUCCCAUUGAAUGAUGAUGCAUGAAUACCGUUGCAUCGAAGAAAUCUUUCAAGCAUCAAACCCAAUAUUAUCGUGGCUUAAACCACAACAUGAACUUUUUUAGAGCUUUUUGGAUUUGAUCAAAGUGCCUAAAGGCAUUGGACUUGAACUCCAUUAAGAUGUAGUAUUGAUGACACAUGUACCAAAAUAACCAUAGGAGUUCUUGUCGGAAGUCAUUGGCUAGUGCAAUGAACACAUGACAGAAGAAAUAUUCUGGGUGUACACCAAACGAAUUCAGAAUGGAUCGUCUAUAUUUUGCGAA